GAGGGGAGCUAGCGUUAUUCGGAAUUACUGGGCGUAAAGCGCACGUAGGCGGCUUUGUAAGUUAGAGGUGAAAGCCCGGGGCUCAACUCCGGAAUUGCCUUUAAGACUGCAUCGCUUGAAUCCAGGAGAGGUGAGUGGAAUUCCGAGUGUAGAGGUGAAAUUCGUAGAUAUUCGGAAGAACACCAGUGGCGAAGGCGGCUCACUGGACUGGUAUUGACGCUGAGGUGCGAAAGCGUGGGGGGCAAACAGGAUUAGAUACCCUGGUAGUCCACGCCGUAAACGAUGAUAACUAGCUGUCCGGGCACUUGGUGCUUGGGUGGCGCAGCUAACGCAUUAAGUUAUCCGCCUGGGGAGUACGGUCGCAAGA
rnacentral:rRNA from 1 species